rnacentral:snoRNA from 1 species
AACCCAUGGUGGGGGCACCCUCUCAAGAGGUCCUUGUAUCUCUCCCAUGCAUCGUAGAGUGUUUCUAAAUAUAUCUGCAUAAAAGAAGUGAUUUCAUUACGUAAUUU